GACGAACGCUGGCGGCGUGCCUAAUACAUGCAAGUCGAACGCAGUGGGGACGGGUGAGUAACACGUGGGUAACCUCCCAUCAGAGGGGAUAACACUUGGCAACAGGUGCUAAACCGAUACUGAUUGAUGGAACCGCGGUGCAUUAGGUAGUUGGGGAGGUAACGGCUCACCAAGGCCACGAUGCAUAGCCGGCCUGGGAGGAUGAUCGGCCACACUGGGACUGAGACACGGCCCAGACUCCUACGGGAGGCAGCAGUAGGGAAUAUUGGGCAAUGGACGAAAGUCUGACCGAGCAACGCCGCGUGAGUGAAGAAGGUUUUCGGAUCGUAAAACUCUUUUGUUAGAGAAGCGGUAUCUAAACAGAAAGCCACGACUAACUACGUGCCAGCAGCCGCGGUAAUUC
rnacentral:rRNA from 1 species